rnacentral:rRNA from 1 species
UACGGGGGGGGCAAGCGUUGUUCGGAAUUACUGGGCGUAAAGGGCGCGUAGGCGGCCUUCUAAGUCAGACGUGAAAUCCCCAGGCUUAACUUGAGAACUGCGUCUGAUACUGGGAGGCUUGAGUGCGGGAGAGGGAUGUGGAAUUCCAGGUGUAGCGGUGAGAUGCGUAGAUAUCUGGAGGAACACCGGUGGCGAAGGCGAGUCCCUGGACAACACCUGACACUGAGGCACGAAAGCCGGGGGAGCAAACAGG